rnacentral:rRNA from 1 species
UACGAAGGGGGCGAGCGUUGUUCGGAAUUACUGGGCGUAAAGGGCGCGUAGGCGGCCGAUCAAGUCAGAUGUGAAAGUCCUGGGCUUAACCUGGGGACUGCAUUUGAUACUGAUUGGCUUGAAUGCAGGAGAGGAUAGCGGAAUUCCCAGUGUAGAGGUGAAAUUCGUAGAUAUUGGGAAGAACACCGGUGGCGAAGGCGGCGACCUGGUCCGAUACUGACGCUGAGGCGCGAAAGCGUGGGGAGCAAACAGG